GUGCAUUCUGCAUUAGAGUUUUUGUGUUCAAGCUCCCUUGCUGGGGCGGUUUGUGCAGCGACCCGUCUGCAGAGGUCACGGGAGAGUGCUUGCAGGUGUCUGGUUACUUUCACUCCCACGGGGCAGCAGCCAGGUCUUUUCCUGUGGGUACUUUAAAAGCUAUGAAGCAAACAACUUAUAAAAGAAGUUGGAAGAGUCAGAUAUGAAAGAAGGACUUGGAACUGUGGGGCCAGAGCCAAGGUGCAUAAGCGCUUUCCUUCAUUUGGGAGCCAAACGAACCAGGAGCACCACGAGAUCCCACACAGUUGCGCAGACCAGAGUCGCUGAGGAAGUCAGCAACUCCGAAGAAAUGUAACUGAAGAAACAACUAACACAAAGUGGCACCAAUUACAAAGGUUUCUUGGAAAAGGAAAGUCCUUUCCAAAUUCCUGAAAAGUGCUAACAUAUU